GCCUGGCUGGCUCAGUUGGUAAAGCAUUCGAUUCUUGAUCUCAGGGUUGUGGGUUUGAGCCCCACGUUGGGUG
rnacentral:tRNA from 1 species